GGUAGGGUAAAGGCCUACCAAGCCGACAAUCAAUAGCCAGCUUGAGAGAGGGAUUGGCCACAUCGGGUAUGAAAUUUACCCAAGUAGUGUUUAACUACCUGCAGUCAAGAAUAUUUGUCAAUGCUCGAAAGAGUGAACAAGCUAACUGGAAUUUAGUGUUGCAAAGAAAUUUGUAAUACUAAAUAAUGUAAGGGAGGAUUAUGACGUUACCUUACGAUAAGUGUCGUCUAACAACUGGUGCCAGAAGACUCGGUAACACCAGAGACGCGAACGUUAGUCAUCUUAAAUGGGCGUAAAGGGUUCGUAGGCAUCUUAUAUAAUAAUAAGAUAGAAUCAAGAAGAGGAAAUGGAGAAUGUUUAGAGAAGUGAUGAAAUACUAAGAUCCUAAAUAGAAUACUCGUGGCGAAGGCUCCUUUCCAAUAAUGAUUGACGCUGAGGAACGAAGGUGUAGAUAGGAAAUAGGAUUAGAUACCCAGAUACCCUACACUGUCAACGAUGAAUGGCAAGAGUCUAUAAUAAUUUAAAUAUAGGUUCUGAGGCUAAGAGCGCUAACCAUUCCGCCUUGUAAGUAUACUCGCAAGAGUGAAAAUAAAAAAAUUAGUCGGUUCUAGAGCAAACGAAGUGAAGCAUGUUGUUUAAUACGAUAAUCCGCGUAAAAUCUUACCACAUCUUGCAUACUUAUCAUAUCAUCUCAAAAGAUGGAUUUGUACAGGUGUUGCAUGGCUGUCGCCAGCUCGUGUCAGUGAGACGUAUGGUUAAUUCCGUUAAACGAGCGCAAUCCUCGCCAUGAUUCUAUACGUUCAUGGUCUCACUCUGAUAAAGAGUGAUUUUAGGAGGACUAUGACAAGCCCUCAUGGCCCUUAUGGUGUGGGCUAUAGACGUGCUACAAGAAUCUUUACAAAAUGAUGCAAAAUGGUAACAAUGAGCUAAUCACCAAAGAAGAUUAAUGUACGGAUUGGGGGCUGGAACUCGCCCUCAUGAAGUAGGAAUUCCGAGUAAUCGCGCAUCAUCACGGCGCGGUGAAUAUUAUCUCUCUAAUGUACUAACUGCUCGUCACGGGAGAAGAGGAUAUUCAUUAUGAAGUGGCGUAUGUCAAAUGGCAAACGUUACGAGUAAUGCUAUCUAAUUGUUCUGAAGUCGAAACAAGGUAACCGUAAGGGAACUUGCGGUUG
rnacentral:rRNA from 1 species